rnacentral:rRNA from 1 species
AGUGAACGCUGGCGGCAGGCCUAACACAUGCAAGUCGAGCGGCAGCGCGUCCGACCACCCUCGGGUGGUCGGAUGGCGGCGAGCGGCGGACGGGUGAGGAAUGCAUCGGAAUCUGCCUCGUUGUGGGGGAUAACGUAGGGAAACUUACGCUAAUACCGCAUACGACCUACGGGUGAAAGUGGGGGACCUUCGGGCCUCACGCGAUGAGAAUGAGCCGAUGCCGGAUUAGCUAGUUUGGCGGGGUAAAGGCCCACCAAGGCGACGAUCCGUAGCUGGUCUGAGAGGAUGAUCAGCCACACUGGGACUGAGACACGGCCCAGACUCCUACGGGAGGCAGCAGUGGGGAAUAUUGGGACAAUGGGCGCAAGCCUGAUCCAGCAAUGCCGCGU